rnacentral:lncRNA from 1 species
GAUAGAUGAUAUUACAGAUAAUGAAUAAAUCAAAAGCUUAUAGUACCUUAUAGAGGGUAAAAAUGACAUCUUUAUUAUUGAUGGGGUAAACAAAAUCAUAAAAAAGCAGUGAAAUGAAAGGGGUAUGUAUGUGUGUAUAACAAAAGAGAGUGAAAAUGGAGAGAAGAAAGUACCUGAUUGUUGGUGGUGGGAAUGGAAGAAUCGAUCAUUGUAAUUGGAUAUGAAAAAGCAUUGUUGUAUUAAGAGAAGAGAUAGAGAUCGAAAUGGAAUGUGACAAAACUUGAAUGUAAUGAUGAUGAUGAUGCUUUGAAUGAAUAAUAAUAGUAGUAAAACAAACAGUGAUGAUGAUGACGAUGGAGAGGGUUUGGUAAUGUUGUUGAGAGUUUAAGCAGAGGGAGAGAGAGAGAGAGAUUGGUAGUAAGUAAUUAUGAGUUGGGUUAGCACAGAGAGAAAAAGACGGUGAGUGAGAUUGUGGAGAUGCCACGCGCCAUGAUUGUAAAGUUGCCAUGCGCCAUUAUCAUCAUCAACGAGUAGGGUAGGGUAGGAGAGUACUAUAAUGCUAGUGCUAUGCCUAGUAGUUAGUCCUACUAAUUAUUGCAGUAACCCAAAUCUCAG